CCUACGGGAGGCAGCAGUGGGGGAUAUUGCACAAUGGGGGGAACCCUGAUGCAGCGACGCCGCGUGGGUGAAGAAGCGCCUCGGCGCGUAAAGCCCUGUCAGCAGGGAAGAAAAUGACGGUACCUGAAGAAGAAGCCCCGGCUAACUACGUGCCAGCAGCCGCGGGAAUACGUAGGGGGCAAGCGUUAUCCGGAUUUACUGGGUGUAACGGGGGCGCAGACGGCGAUGCAAGCCAGGAGUGAAAGCCCGGGGCCCAACCCCGGGACUGCUCUUGGAACUGUGCGGCUAGAGUGCAGGAGGGGCAGGCGGAAUUCCUGGUGUAGCGGUGAAAUGCGUAGAUAUCAGGAGGAACACCGGCGGCGAAGGCGGCCUGCUGGACCGCGACUGACGUUGAGGCUCGAAAGCGUGGGGAGCGAACAGGAUUAGAUACCCCUGUAGUC
rnacentral:rRNA from 1 species